rnacentral:rRNA from 1 species
UACAGAGGCCACAAGCGUUAAUCGGAAUCACUGGGCUUAAAGGGUGCGUAGGCGGGUCCGCAAGUGUCUUGUGAAAUCCCCCGGCUCAACCGGGGAAUUGCAGGGCAUACUGCGGAUCUUGAGGCAGGUAGGGGUCGCGAGAACAGUGGGUGGAGCGGUGAAAUGCGUAGAUAUCCACUGGAAUGCCGAUGGUGAAGACAGCUAACUAAACUUUUACUGACGCUGAGGCACGAAAGUGUGGGGAUCAAACAGG